rnacentral:lncRNA from 1 species
GUAUAACGAGCCCGGUUCCGCUGGAAAAAACCGGUCCGCUGUAUUAUGUAGCGUACAUUUUGUUUCUCUGGGUUUACGCUACAUAAUACAGCGUAUACGCUGUUUAAUAUUUUAAUCCUUUUUUUAAUCUUGACCGUUAGCUGCUUAAUGGACGGUUAAAAAUGAGGUGGAUAAAAUUAAUAAUUUAUCCACCUUUGGUUGUAGAACAUCCCCC